rnacentral:antisense_RNA from 1 species
AAAGCCAUGAAGUCACCCCAAGUUCAAACCCAAUAUGCAAUUUGCAGUGGUUAGAAAUGACAAAGGAUGGGUGGUGGGAUCCAGAGAAAAAAACAGUGAAACCCGAUGGACCUUAAAUAGAUCUGAGGGCACUGAUUUGAUUAUUUUGGGUGAAAUCUUUUAAGAAAAUCUUGUCAGAUUCUUCACAGAAAAUUUGGUAAAGCCUAUAUUUCAUUGCCGGCCUAGCAAAGUUCACCUUGUGCCCAACCUUCUGUCUCCCCGAGUCAGACCUGCAGAUGAUUGCAUGCCACCGGCUGUCUUCCCUCCUGAGAACAUGACACAAAGGAACGCUCCCUGUCAAGUUCUUCAUUAUCCUUCUGAUGAAUUUCCCCUGAUUUAAACAAGUUGGUGUUAGACAGACCUUUCUCGCAUUUUCACAGAUGUGCCAGGAGGAAACCCAGCGUCUCUCAGUUGCCUUUAAAUAUAUGAGAUACCAUGAAAGGAUUUGAGGUUUUUUUAAUGUGAAUCCAAAGAUGACAUUUACAAAAGGUGGAGAAGCAGUUCCCUACUGAGGGACAUGGAUACAAAAAGCAGAUGACACAACGCAUCCCAUAGAGUUCCCAAGGAAGAAUGAACCCAGAUUCUUGACCUGCAGAGGUUAUCGCAAUUGACUUCAGGCUGGAACGGGCAUUGCUCUUGCACUGAAGAAAGUCUGUCCUGACUCCCUCAGAGUGCCUCAACAUCAACCAAGAGCCACCGUGAACCUCUGGGGCACUGAGCCUGGCCACCAGCACCCCCCACCCCAGCCCAUAUGGCCUGGGCCUCUGCCUUAAUGUUUAAAGGAGAUGAUAAAAAUGCUGUAACCCAGAUAAUGAUCACCUUACUCUUCAAAAAUAUUGCCCAAGUUCUUUGUUCAAGAUGCCACGAACCUGGAUACCCUCCACUGGUAACAAAUAUGACUUUAUUUUUAGCAAGGAACUUUGCAGUGUAAUUAAGUUAAUGAUCUUGAGAUGAGAUCAUCUUGGAAUAUCUGGGUGGGCCCUAAAUCCAAUGACAAGUGUCCUCAUAGGAAGAGAAGAUACACACAGAGGAGAAGGUGGUGUGAAGAUGGAAGCCAAGACUGUCGAUACCAGUUGGAGAGCACCAAGAACUACCCGCAGCCACCGAAAGCUAGGAGAGAGGCAUAGGACUGUCUCCUUCAGACCCUCCAGAAAGACCAAACCUGCCUGCGCCUUGAUUUCAGACUUUUGGCCUCCCACAUUGUGAGAGAAUAAAAUUUUGUUUUUGAAGCCAUCUAG